CGGGUGAGUAACACGUGAGCAACCUGCCCCUGACUCUGGGAUAAGCGCUGGAAACGGCGUCUAAUACUGGAUAUGUGACGUGAUCGCAUGGUCUGCGUCUGGAAAGAAUUUCGGUUGGGGAUGGGCUCGCGGCCUAUCAGCUUGUUGGUGAGGUAAUGGCUCACCAAGGCGUCGACGGGUAGCCGGCCUGAGAGGGUGACCGGCCACACUGGGACUGAGACACGGCCCAGACUCCUACGGGAGGCAGCAGUGGGGAAUAUUGCACAAUGGGCGCAAGCCUGAUGCAGCAACGCCGCGUGAGGGAUGACGGCCUUCGGGUUGUAAACCUCUUUUAGCAGGGAAGAAGCGAAAGUGACGGUACCUGCAGAAAAAGCGCCGGCUAACUACGUGCCAGCAGCCGCGGUAAUACGUAGGGCGCAAGCGUUAUCCGGAAUUAUUGGGCGUAAAGAGCUCGUAGGCGGUUUGUCGCGUCUGCUGUGAAAUCCGGAGGCUCAACCUCCGGCCUGCAGUGGGUACGGGCAGACUAGAGUGCGGUAGGGGAGAUUGGAAUUCCUGGUGUAGCGGUGGAAUGCGCAGAUAUCAGGAGGAACACCGAUGGCGAAGGCAGAUCUCUGGGCCGUAACUGACGCUGAGGAGCGAAAGGGUGGGGAGCAAACAGGCUUAGAUACCCUGGUAGUCCACCCCGUAAACGUUGGGAACUAGUUGUGGGGUCCAUUCCACGGAUUCCGUGACGCAGCUAACGCAUUAAGUUCCCCGCCUGGGGAGUACGGCCGCAAGGCUAAAACUCAAAGGAAUUGACGGGGACCCGCACAAGCGGCGGAGCAUGCGGAUUAAUUCGAUGCAACGCGAAGAACCUUACCAAGGCUUGACAUAUACGAGAACGGGCCAGAAAUGGUCAACUCUUUGGACACUCGUAAACAGGUGGUGCAUGGUUGUCGUCAGCUCGUGUCGUGAGAUGUUGGGUUAAGUCCCGCAACGAGCGCAACCCUCGUUCUAUGUUGCCAGCACGUAAUGGUGGGAACUCAUGGGAUACUGCCGGGGUCAACUCGGAGGAAGGUGGGGAUGACGUCAAAUCAUCAUGCCCCUUAUGUCUUGGGCUUCACGCUGCUACAAUGGCCGGUACAAAGGGCUGCAAUACCGCGAGGUGGAGCGAAUCCCAAAAAGCCGGUCCCAGUUCGGAUUGAGGUCUGCAACUCGACCUCAUGAAGUCGGAGUCGCUAGUAAUCGCAGAUCAGCAACGCUGCGGUGAAUACGUUCCCGGGUCUUGUACACACCGCCCGUCAAGUCAUGAAAGUCGGUACACCUGAAGCC
rnacentral:rRNA from 1 species